rnacentral:rRNA from 1 species
AUUGAACGCUAGCGGGAUGCCUUACACAUGCAAGCCGAACGGCAGCGCGGACUUCGGUCUGGCGGCGAGUGGCGAACGGGUGAGUAAUGCAUCGGAACGUACCUUUCAGUGGGGGAUAACGUAGCGAAAGUUACGCUAAUACCGCAUAUUCUGUGAGCAGGAAAGCAGGGGAUCGCAAGACCUCGCGCUGAUUGAGCGGCCGAUGUCAGAUUAGCUAGUUGGUGAGGUAAAGGCUCACCAAGGCGACGAUCUGUAGCGGGUCUGAGAGGAUGAUCCGCCACACUGGAACUGAGACACGGUCCAGACUCCUACGGGAGGCAGCAGUGGGGAAUUUUGGACAAUGGGGGCAACCCUGAUCCAGCCAUGCCGCGUGAGUGAAGAAGGCCUUCGGGUUGUAAAGCUCUUUCGGCCGGGAAGAAAUCGCACGGGCUAAUACCCUGUGUGGAUGACGGUACCGGAAUAAGAAGCACCGGCUAACUACGUGCCAGCCGCCGCGGUAA